rnacentral:ncRNA from 1 species
UUAUUUUAAGAUUAAAAGGGAAUUUGGUGCGAGGCCAAAACUAUCCCCGUAGCUGUAUGUUUUAUUAAAGUUUAAUCAAGUUGUCACUGUCUUGCGAUGGGAAGACGAUUAAAUUGAAACGAGUCAGAAGACCUGCCGAAAAUUAA